AUGUGCGUAGGAAUUUUUUUGAAAUUACUACGUUCCCCAACAGAGAUAACUGAGGAAGACGGAUUUAGAUGGAGAUUUACUGGAAUAUAUGGAGAACCAGCAAGUGAGAGAAGGAAUGUAACAUGGAAACUACUAAGCAUCCUAAAUCAACAGCUCACUCUACCAUGGUUGUGUGCAGGAGACUUCAACGAAAUCAUGUACCUCCAUGAGAAGAUAGGAGGGCCAGAGAGACCACAAUCAGCCAUGGAGAAAUUCAGAUUCGCACUAGCUGACUGCGGCCUCCGAGACUUGGGCUACACAGGGGAUAAGUUUACCUGGUCAAACAAAUAUAUCAAAGAAAGAUUAGACAGAGCAGUAGAUAACCAAAGAUGGUGUCAACGCUUUCCCACAUAUAAAAUAGUGAAUGGAGACCCGAGGCACUCAGAUCACCGUCCGGUCACCAUAUGGGUAGAAGGCAAGGGGAGCUAUCCUAUGGUAAGGAGACAUCUAAACGCAUUCAGGUUUGAAGCAAGAUGGCUCCAAGAAAAAGAAUGCAAAAAUGUGGUGGAAAAUGCUUGGGCUGCUACGAGUCUGAGAGGAAAAAAUAAUGCAUCUGACAAGAUACAGGCAGUGGCACGAGAAUUAAAGGACUGGGACGACAAUGUUCUUGGUGAUUUGGACAAAAGGAUUAAACACACGAAAGCUGAACUGGAGGGAACCAGAAGAGGUGUCAUAAAUCAAGAGAGUGUCUCUAGGGAACUUUACUUGAGGGAGAAACUUGACAGACUAGAACAUCAAAGGGAAACUCACUGGAAGCAACGUGCACACAUCACGUGGCUGCGUUCAGGCGAUAAAAAUACAGCUUUUUUCCAUGCCUUUGCCUGA
rnacentral:rRNA from 1 species